UCUUCGCGCGGCCCCGCCCCGCGCUCUGGUUGAGGAGCCAAUGCGACUGCGUCACAGCCUUGCUUUCCCUUCCGGAUGGGAACAGCCACCAGGUUAAGAGGCAGGAAAGAGUUAACACUACCGAGUCUGCGGGCUAGCCAGAGUAUAGGAGGGCCCGGCACCGGGCGCAGCGCUUGGCGUCGCGGUCUCACGUCUCCUUCGUGUCUGCAUCGCCCUGCCCGGGCCCUGCCCCCUGCCCCCUGCAAUCUCUACGCCGUGUGCCUAUUCUCGCAGUGCUCCAGGUGACUUAGUGAGGCUCAUCGCAGCCUUCUCAAGAAAGAGGAGGCCGUUUUGUGCCUGGCAGGCCACUGCUAGAUCAGAAAGGACGACCUCUGAGAUUUUUGUGCGCUUUCUGGUUCGCGUGGUGCUUUCCUCACAAUUUGUGUUUCCUGUGAGCGCCUGGAAUGGAUAAAAGUGCCAGUUGUUUCUUCUCAUGAAAUUGUGUAUCUGAAAUGAAAACCAUGAAAUUAAUCUAGAACAGUACAUUUCUAAAGACCUGGAAUGGCUCUGGGCAGCACCAAGGACCUGAAGGAAAUAUUUGAGGGUGCAAAACUACAGAAGAGUUUGCCAGCAAAAAGACUUAAUGGGAAACAAUUGAACAGAAACAUGAGUAAAAUAAAUGAAGUUUUGAAUUUUUUCAGGCAGUUCAGUCUUGGUUCAAAUUAAGAAAAAUCUACACUGAAGAGAAAUCAAAGUCUCAAGUAUGAAAGUACGUUAUUUAGCAUCUUGCUGUAAACUUAGGAAAAUAAAUGAAAGGACAUAUCUUUUUAACUGUGUUAAAAUAUUUGUAAAACUUUGAGGCUUAUCUCUAAGGAACUGCCAUGAUUCUAAAAUGUGAUAAUAUCCCAAAUAUAGAAUAGUAAUAGUAUCAGUGAAAGAUAACCCUUGAGAAUUUGUCAGAUACACAAAAGGGAAAAGAUAUGAGAGUGGAAAAGUGCUACUAAUAAAUUAUUUACAUAUUUACAGAUUACUUUGGCAACAUAAGAGACACUCAAGUUUAAAGCUCAGUCUUUAAGAAUGCCAUAUUGGGGCUGGGGAUUUAGCUCAGUGGUUUCGCCGCCUGCUGCGCAAGCGCAAGGACCCGAGUUCGAUCCCUGGUACCAAAAAAAAAGAAUGCCAUAUUGAAUGCAAUAAAAGUUGGAUUUCAUUCCUAUGUGCAGCAGAACCUAUUAAUUCUCUUUCACCUUCACCUAAAGAUUCUAUACAACUGUUUCCAAGUUCCAGUUUUCCAGCUAUUCUAGUGUCCAAGUCCUUGAGACUUAAGAGUCUAUUCAAGUAGAUGAAUUGUCCCCAGUGAAUGGUACAUAUUGAACAACAGGAGCACUAUUUUCUUUUCUGGCAAUGAGUUAAAAGCAAGUUAUUUGGAAGGGGAGAAGCCACACUGAAUUUCUGCUAUACAGGGUUACUCUGUUACAGCUUUUGAGUUUUUCCACACUCCCUUUUCGCUAGCAUCACUUUUUAAAAAAUUCCACCUGGGUCUGUUCUUUUGGUCAUUGGAGCAGCUAUAUUUGUCCAUGGAAAAAAAGCAGUUGAGUUCUGAAAACUGAUUUGCAAUAGCAACAUCCAGGCAGGACUUUGGCAGCAACAGCUGAGAACAUAGGUUCUUUACCUCUAGACUAGCACUUCAAUCAUGAACUCAUCCUUUUCAGUCCAUUACCCUCCACUAAAAAUGCCUGUGCCUUCUGGGGCUUUGCAGUAGCUUUUUAUUAAUUAUUUUCCAAUUCAGUAAGGCUUUUCUCUUUCUUUUUUUCUUGUUGGUUAUUUGAAAUCAAAUUCAGUGUGAAUAAGAGAGGGAAAUAUACAACACUGAAUUUGGAGGAGAAAAUGAAGGUUCUAAGUAGGAUUGAACCUGGACGAUCUCUUAAAAGUGUAAUGGAUGAAUUUGGAAUCAGUAAAUCAACAUUUUACGACAUUAAAAAGAAUAAGAAAUUGGGCCGGGGAUUUAGCUCAGUGGUUUCGCCACCUGAUGCGCAAGUGCAAGGACCCGAGUUCGAUCCCCAGUACCAAAAAAAAAAAAAAAAAAAA